rnacentral:rRNA from 1 species
GACGAACGCUGGCGGCGUGCUUAACACAUGCAAGUCGAACGGAAAGGCCCUGCUUUUGUGGGGUGCUCGAGUGGCGAACGGGUGAGUAACACGUGAGUAACCUGCCCUUGACUUUGGGAUAACUUCAGGAAACUGGGGCUAAUACCGGAUAGGAGCUCCUGCUGCAUGGUGGGGGUUGGAAAGUUUCGGCGGUUGGGGAUGGACUCGCGGCUUAUCAGCUUGUUGGUGGGGUAGUGGCUUACCAAGGCUUUGACGGGUAGCCGGCCUGAGAGGGCGACCGGCCACAUUGGGACUGAGAUACGGCCCAGACUCCUACGGGAGGCAGCAGUGGGGAAUAUUGCACAAUGGGCGGAAGCCUGAUGCAGCAACGCCGCGUGCGGGAUGACGGCCUUCGGGUUGUAAACCGCUUUCGCCUGUGACGAAGCGUGAGUGACGGUAAUGGGUAAAGAGGCACCGGCUAACUACGUGCCAGCAGCCGCGGUGAUACGUAGGGUGCGAGCGUUGUCCGGAUUUAUUGGGCGUAAAGGGCUCGUAGGUGGUUGAUCGCGUCGGAAGUGUAAUCUUGGGGCUUAACCCUGAGCGUGCUUUCGAUACGGGUUGACUUGAGGAAGGUAGGGGAGAAUGGAAUUCCUGGUGGAGCGGUGGAAUGCGCAGAUAUCAGGAGGAACACCAGUGGCGAAGGCGGUUCUCUGGGCCUUUCCUGACGCUGAGGAGCGAAAGCGUGGGGAGCGAACAGGCUUAGAUACCCUGGUAGUCCACGCUGUAAACGGUGGGUACUAGGUGUGGGGUCCAUUCCACGGGUUCCGUGCCGUAGCUAACGCUUUAAGUACCCCGCCUGGGGAGUACGGCCGCAAGGCUAAAACUCAAAGGAAUUGACGGGGCCCCGCACAAGCGGCGGAGCAUGCGGAUUAAUUCGAUGCAACGCGUAGAACCUUACCUGGGUUUGACAUGGAUCGGGAGCGCUCAGAGAUGGGUGUGCCUCUUUUGGGGUCGGUUCACAGGUGGUGCAUGGCUGUCGUCAGCUCGUGUCGUGAGAUGUUGGGUUAAGUCCCGCAACGAGCGCAACCCUUGUUCACUGUUGCCAGCACGUUAUGGUGGGGACUCAGUGGAGACCGCCGGGGUCAACUCGGGGGAAGGUGGGGAUGACGUCAAGUCAUCAUGCCCCCUAUGUCCAGGGCUUCACGCAUGCUACAAUGGCUGGUACAGAGAGUGGCGAGCCUGUGAGGGUGAGCGAAUCUCGGAAAGCCGGUCUCAGUUCGGAUUGGGGUCUGCAACUCGACCUCAUGAAGUCGGAGUCGCUAGUAAUCGCAGAUCAGCAACGCUGCGGUGAAUACGUUCCCGGG